rnacentral:rRNA from 1 species
UCUCGGAGACAUUAACGAGUUAUUGAACAGGUUGUAGCUGGCCUUCAGGGGCAUGUGCACGCCUGGCUCAUCCACUCUUCAACCUCUGUGCACUUGUUGUAGGUCGGUGGAAGGGUAAGUCUAAGCAAUUAGACUUGCUUGGAAGCCUUGCUAUGUUUUUACAAACGCUUCAGUUUAAGAAUGUAUCUCUGCGUAUAACGCAUUUAUAUACAACUUUCAGCAACGGAUCUCUUGGCUCUCGCAUCGAUGAAGAACGCAGCGAAAUGCGAUAAGUAAUGUGAAUUGCAGAAUUCAGUGAAUCAUCGAAUCUUUGAACGCACCUUGCGCUCCCUGGUAUUCCGGGGAGCAUGCCUGUUUGAGUGUCAUGGUAUUCUCAACCUUCAUAACUUUUGUUAUCGAAGGCUUGGAUUUGGAGGUUGUGCUGGCUUCUCGUCAAGUCGGCUCCUCUUAAAAGUAUUAGCGUGAGUGUAACGGAUCGCUUCGGUGUGAUAAUUAUCUGCGCCGUGGUCGUGAAGUAGCAUAAGCUUGCGCUUCUAACCGUCCUUCAGCUGGACAAUUUACUCUGACAUCUGACCUCAAAUCAGGUAGGACUACCCGCUGAACUUAAGCAUAUCAAAAGCCGGAAGAAAAAAA